GGCGAGGUAGCUCAGUCGGUUAGAGCGUCGGAUUCAUAACCCGGAGGUCACGAGUUCAACUCUCGUCCUCGCUACCA
rnacentral:tRNA from 1 species